UACGUAGGGGGCAAGCGUUGUCCGGAAUUAUUGGGCGUAAAGAGCGCGUAGGCGGUCCGGUAAGUCAGCUGUGAAAGUCAAGGGCUCAACCCUUGAAAGCCGGUUGAUACUGUCGGGCUAGGGUCCGGAAGAGGCGAGUGGAAUUCCCGGUGUAGCGGUGAAAUGCGCAGAUAUCGGGAGGAACACCAAUGGCGAAGGCAGCUCGCUGGGACGGUACUGACGCUGAGGCGCGAAAGCGUGGGGAGCAAACAGG
rnacentral:rRNA from 1 species